UUUAUGCCUUCUGGAUCAUCUGAUUAUGAGUUUACAAUCUCGGAGGAAGAGAGAGAGCAGGUAAGGGAAGCCAGCUACUUGUAUGGUGAACUAAAGACGAGUUUGAGGUGCUCUUCGUCUAUAAAGAAAAUUCAGGAGAUUGGGGUUUUAUGUGAACAAGGAAAACCCAUUGCAAGAAAAGGCAAGGAGAAGGUAAAGGAAGUAAGAACAGAUGUUGGAAAGCAGGUGUGCGGAAUUUGCCUCUCAGAAGAGGAUAAAAGGAAAUUGCGGGGGAC
rnacentral:misc_RNA from 1 species